rnacentral:tRNA from 1 species
GCCAGUCUGGCUCAGUGGAUAGAGCAUCAGCCUGCCGACUGAAGGGUCCUGGGUUCGAUUCCAGGCAAAAGCA